GAUCAUGCUCAGGAUGAACGCUAGCGGCAGGCUUAACACAUGCAAGUCGAGGGGCAGCACGAGGUAGCAAUACUUUGGUGGCGACCGGCGCACGGGUGCGUAACGCGUAUGCAACCUACCUUUAACAGGGGCAUAACACUGAGAAAUUGGUACUAAUUCCCCAUAACAUUCGAGAAGGCAUCUUCUUGGGUUAAAAACUCCGGUGGUUAAAGAUGGGCAUGCGUUGUAUUAGCUAGUUGGUGAGGUAACGG
rnacentral:rRNA from 1 species